GACGAACCGUGCGAACGUUGUUCGGAAUCACUGGGCUUAAAGGGCGCGUAGGCGGGCUGUCAAGUCUGGGGUGAAAUGCCGCGGCUCAACCGUGGAACUGCCUUAGAUACUGACGGUCUCGAGGGGGAUAGGGGCGAGCGGAACAGACGGUGGAGCGGUGAAAUGCGUAGAUAUCGUCUGGAACGCCAAAGGUGAAAACAGCUCGCUGGGGUUGUGCUGACGCUGAGACACGAAAGCCAGGGGAGCGAACGGGG
rnacentral:rRNA from 1 species